rnacentral:misc_RNA from 1 species
AAGUCGUAACAAGGUUUCCGCAGGUGAACCUGCGGAAGGAUCAUUAAGUUAAACCCCCUCCGUGAACCUUCAAACGCAGUGCCUUGGCGCUAAGAGGGCUUAAUCACCCCAACGCGGGUGUAGCCAAUUAACAGCAACUUAAGAAAAACGUUCUGAGCAACUGUUAACAAUGGAUAUCUUGGUUCUCGC